rnacentral:rRNA from 1 species
GUAGUUAGCCGGGGCUUCCUCCUCGCCUACCGUCUUCUCCUCUUCAACAAGGACAGAGGUUUACAAUCCGAAAACCUUCUUCCCUCACGCGGCGUUGCUGGGUCAGGCUUUCGCCCAUUGCCCAAUAUUCCCCACUGCUGCCUCCCGUAGGAGUUUGGACCGUCUCUCAGUUCCAAUGUGGCCGAUCACCCUCUCAGGUCGGCUACCCAUCGCAGGCUUGGUGGGCCGUUACCUCACCAACUACCUAAUGGGACGCGAGUCCACCCCUUACCGGAUUACUCCUUUGACCCCUGCACCAUGCGAUGCUGUGGUCUUAUGCGGUAUUAGCACACCUUUCGAUGCGUUAUCCCCCUGUAAGGGACAGGUUCCUCACGCGUUACUCACCCGUCCGCCGCUAGAAAUGUUCGUAGCAAGCUAUUCCCAUUCCUCGCUCGACUUGCAUGUGUUAGGCACGCCGCCAGCGUUCGUCCUGAGCCAGGAUCAAACUCUGA